rnacentral:rRNA from 1 species
AUACGGAGGGUGCAAGCGUUAUCCGGAAUCAUUGGGUUUAAAGGGUCCGUAGGCGGGCUAAUAAGUCAGGGGUGAAAUCCCACAGCUUAACUGUGGAACUGCCCUUGAUACUGUUGGUCUUGAGUUACAGUGAAGUGGUUAGAAUGUGUAGUGUAGCGGUGUAAUGCAUAGAGAUUACACAGAAUACCGAUUGCGAAGGCAGAUCACUAACUGUAUACUGACGCUAAUGGACGAAAGCGUGGGGAGCGAACAGGAUUAGAAACCCCAGUAGUCC